CUCCUCCUUCCUCUAAAGUCUAAGUCUGAUAACACUCUCCUGCUCUCUCUUUAACGAAACCAAAUAGAAAAUUCAAGCAAUCUCUCUGUUCGCAACACCUACCUCUACAUUGUGUAAAUUCGUCCAAAAAUAAGGCUGAAUUUGGGAUUUUGUUAAGGUUUUGGUACAAAUUCAACUACAAAUGUAUCUUAUGCUGAGUUCGAAGUAAAAUGUGCAUAUAUUAAGGUGCACAGGCUGUGCGCGGCGGACAUGGAUGGGCACGCAAAUCUUGUGCGCGGGCGAACUGCAUUUAAUUAAAAUAAAUUCAAUUACCUUUUGUGCCGACGAUAAUGGAGGAGACAACGGCGUCGAUGUAGGUCUCUUCUUUGGAGCCAUUGACGUUGACACCUUCACCGGCGACAAACAGAGUCGUGGGCGGGGAAACAGGGGUUGGAAACUUCAAACGCCGCCGCGAAAUAGGGCAGCGCCGGCGAGAGGCGAGUGGAGUAAGGCGAUCGGGUCGCGCAGUGCUUGCGAGAGGGGAUUGCAGCUCCAGCGAGAGGGGCGUGCUCCGGCGGCUAUGGUGCGAGCAAGAGGGGAUUGUUUUGAGGCAUCUCCGGUUGGGUUUGCUCGACAAAAAGUCAAAAACAGAGAACAACACAACGACAAACAAAGAGGUCGUGGGCGGCGAGAAUACGGGUGAACAAACCCGACCAGAUUUCGGCUGAGGUGGUGCCAGCGCAACUGCUAGGCUGCUGGAGGAGGAAGGGAGGGAAAGACCAGAGAAGGAGGAAAGGGUGAUGAGGGAGGGGGGUGAAUUUGAUUUUAAAGGGCGGGAUCGUACUUUCACGCAAUAAAUUAGGGCGUUUUUAACGGAACAGUGCGUCGAAUAAAAAUCCCCAAUAUUUAAGAUCCUAAUUCGGUAGAAAAAAUGUGUAUUUUCAAAAUAAAAUCAACAUAUUGUAUUAAUAUUUUCUACUUUUUAUUAUAAAACUAUAUUUGAUUUUUUCUACGUUGUACCCCUACAUUUCGUUGAUUUCUACGUUGUACCCAUGGAUUUAAAAUCUUCCAAAUUGUACCCUUGUACUUGUAAAAUAUAUUUAACAUUAUCCUUGUUGUUAAUCUAACGUUUAAAGAUUUCGUUACUUUUUAACCAAAUUAAGGUUUUUCAAUAUUAUAUUAUAAUCAAUAUUAUGCUUGUUGGUGAACCUAAUGUUAUGUAGAAAAAUCUUGAAUUUUUA